AUACGGAGGGGGUUAGCGUUGUUGGGAAUUACUGGGCGUAAAGCGCACGUAGGCGGACUGGAAAGUUGGGGGUGAAAUCCCGGGGCUCAACCCCGGAACUGCCUCCAAAACUUCCAAUCUAGAGAUCGAGAGAGGUGAGUGGAAUUCCAAGUGUAGAGGUGAAAUUCGUAGAUAUUUGGAGGAACACCAGUGGCGAAGGCGGCUCACUGGCUCGAUACUGACGCUGAGGUGCGAAAGCGUGGGGAGCAAACAGGAUUAGAAACCCCGGUAGUCC
rnacentral:rRNA from 1 species